AAUAGAUACCCCGGUAGUCCACCCCGUAAACGUUGGGACUAGUUGUGGGGUCCUUUCCACGGAUUCCGUGACGCAGCUAACGCAUUAAGUUCCCCGCCUGGGGGAGUACGGCCGCAAGGCUAAAACUCAAAGGAAUUGACGGGGACCCGCACAAGCGGCGGAGCAUGCGGAUUAAUUCGAUGCAACGCGAAGAACCUUACCAAGGCUUGACAUACACCGGAAACGGCCAGAGAUGGUCGCCCCGCAAGGUCGGUGUACAGGUGGUGCAUGGUUGUCGUCAGCUCGUGUCGUGAGAUGUUGGGUUAAGUCCCGCAACGAGCGCAACCCUCGUUCUAUGUUGCCAGCACGUAAUGGUGGGAACUCAUGGGAUACUGCCGGGGUCAACUCGGAGGAAGGUGGGGAUGACGUCAAAUCAUCAUGCCCCUUAUGUCUUGGGCUUCACGCAUGCUACAAUGGCCGGUACAAAGGGCUGCAAUACCGUGAGGUGGAGCGAAUCCCAAAAGCCGGUCCCAGUUCGGAUUGAGGUCUGCAACUCGACCUCA
rnacentral:rRNA from 1 species